AAAGGCCGGAACUUGGGAACCUGGGGGUCAUCCUCGCUUUGCGGUGAUUGGAACCUAUACUCAAAAGAGCUUCCAGAAA
rfam:Mesocricetus auratus contig099027, whole genome shotgun sequence.